AACUUUGAAGUGGGCCCCUUUGCUCUGGGUAGAGUUCAUAAUCUAGUUGGGCAAGAAGUCGCAGAGUGGAAUCAGGUAAGUAACAACCCAAGACAGUAUAGGAUUAAGUCCUAGAGAAUGGUAUUGCUAGUUGUCUCUAAUUUCAGAAAAUCUUGGUGGGCAAUAACAAUUGAGGAAUUCUUCAGUAAAAAGGAGCUGAAUUUCUACAUUAUUUAUUUAUUUAUUUUUGUGGUGCUGGGGACUGAACCUAGAUCUGCUCACAUUCUAGGCAAGCACUGAACUGCUUCCCCAGCCUCACAGCUGACUAUAGUUGAAGGAGGAGACUAAGGAAGGAAUGGCCUUUCCAACCAAAAGAACUACAGCAGCAAAAACUUGAGUCAAGCUCCAGAUGUUUGAGAAUCUAGUAGAUUAUAAACUACUCCACUUAAAAAAGAGUUUCCUUCUGAUUAAUUCUCACUCCAAGAUUUUCAGACCAGACCUUAUGGGCAAAGAAAGAGACUUUAGGGAGACGAGGGAGGGCGACCGGCGGCCCGCAGGUACCCACCCAGUACACAGCCGGACGGAGAAGUGGGCGUCGCCUGCAAGGCCGGGCGCGUGACCGACGCCGAACGCACGGGCGCCCCGACUCUGGCGGGCGAUUCCGCCGCUCCCCCAC